UUUCUCCUAAGUAACCUUAUCAAAGAAAUACUUUAUAAAGCAAAAAUCAUCAAAUUAUGGGACAAAUGUCUCAUACUUUCUCAUUGUGGAUUGGUUACACCCACUUGUCUUUCUGGGCCAUUGAUGAGUCAUGAAGCCUAGGUCCCUCAUUGUGGUGGCUUAAGUCAUUAGUCCUCAUCCCUCACUGCUCCAAACUCAAAAGUGAAAUCCUUCUCUCACCUCUAGGUAUGGUGGUUUGUGUAAGAUCAUAGGUCUCGAUCCUUCGUUGUCUGGUUAUUGAAGAAUGCUUGCAUGUUGAAUCUGUGGUGGUUUCUAUUUGUGGUAAGCUAGCAGCCCCAUUCCUAGCAAUCAAUGGAUCUGUAAUUGUAAAUACUCUUCAUUUCUUUGUGGAUUUUCUUGUUUUAUGUAUAUUUUUUUUUGGUGUUUAGUUGUUAAUAUUUGCUGGGUGUUGGGUUACUUCUAGAUUGUGUAAUAUAUAUUUAUUGGAGGUAACAAUAUGAUGAAAUUAACUGAAAAUUUUUUGUUUA